UGCACACCGCAGCUAUCACCGGCUGCAGAUGCCGAGGAUCAGGAGAGGGAGAGCCAAAGCCAGCACUGCUCCUCUGCAGCUCCCUGCACGGCUGCACUAAUCGCUCCGGGGACGCUGCUGAGUUUGUGGAAUUGGCUGGUGAUGGGACCAUGGUUGACUUUAUCCCUGGAUCCUGUCUGUCUUUGAGUCAUCUUCGCUGUGAGUCACAGCAGCUGCUAAUCCCUUGGAGAUAACGGCCUCAUCCCGCUCUCUCCACGCAGGCCUGGGCACCUCCUCCCUUCCCCAGCACAGCUCUGCAGCCCCAGGAGGAGAACCAGCAGGACCCUCCUGUGCCUGUCACACCUCCCUCAGCAAGGAUUUCCAGCCCUCAAGCAGCCCUCACAGCUCCUGCCAGGACUCUGCAGCUUCUCAGCCUUGCUGGGAGCAGAGACACCAGCACUGCCCCCAGGAUGUUACUGGUCUGACUGGUGCUGUGCAGAGAAAACUUCCUCUCUGAGAACUGCUUUGGUAUUUCCCUGUGGGGAGUAGCCAGGACCAACAUGAGCCCCACACUGGGCUCGUGAGUGCUGGUACCUACCCCGUACCUCGAGCCUGUCCAGUGCUCCCCUUUGCCCUUGCUCUUUCCUGGCCAUGCCCUCUGCUGUGCCCACUGCCAUCUCAGCCUGCAAGGCAGGACCCAAAGUGGGUCUGAGGGGCAUCAACCCCUGGAAAACCCUCCUUGACUCCCAUUUUUUUAUUUCCUUUUGGUACCUGCAGUGAUUGGUGAAAGCAGCAUCCCUUUUCCCAGCCUCACCCGAGCCCCAGAAGCAGGAGGAAAGGCCCCAUCCCCUCCCGCAGUGAAGCACAGCCACCCGCAGGCUGGGACACCCUGCUGCGCUGGCCUCACCCGUGUCAUCAGGGAAGAUGUUCUCCUCCUCUCUUGUUCUCCCUAACCCAGGGAGCAGAAGCCAUAUUUGUGUGCAGAGUCUGAGAGCAAUUAAAUUGAAUUCUAAUUAUUGUAUAUCGCAAAUUAGCAAUUUCUACCAUGCUAAUAUUAAUUGCUAACACGACGAUAAGGCGUAUCAGGCAGUCAGGAUGGAGCAGGCGUCGGCUCGCUUGGAGAGAUGUGUGAAAGCAGAAAUCACUGCAGACAUGGAUAUCCCACAGCAGGGAGAUGUUCCUGGGCUGGGGACACUGAGGUUUGGGCUCAGCACCCAGCCUUGCCAGGGCUGGAGCUCAGAGCAGGCUGGAACUGCCAGUGCUCAGCUUGGCUUGCUCAGGAAGGACCAAGGGUGCCUGAACCACAGCGCAGGGUGGUGCAGAUGUGACUGCUCCCUCCUCCCCAACUCAGGGAGUUUGGCUGCACCUCGCUGCAUUUGUGGAAAAUUCAAUAAAGAAGCCAAUGACCGGUUGGUUCUCGAGAGACAGCUCCCUAAUCCCUGCCUAGAGCUGCUCUCCCGGUAGCCCUGGGGUGUUCCUCCUCUGGAGACAGGCAGGUGGCAAGAAGGGCAUGGGGUAGGAGACCCAGUGCCAUCAUGUUAAUCACAUUCCAUGAAGCUGCUGUAGUGACUUUCACCUCUGCCAGGCUGGAAUCACAGCUAAAGGCACGCUGGGACUGCAGGGAUGGGCACCGGUGUCUGUGGGGAUGGACGAGGACAUCCAGCUCCAGCUGAGCCCUGGGACUGACGUUCUGCUUUGGCAGGAGCUGCUCUGAGCUUGUCACAGACGCUGUGCUGGCUGUCCUCCCCCGUCAGAGCCAACAUGUACAACAUCCUCACACAGCAUCACACGGGGAAAUCCGAGGAGAUCAAAGCAGAGGCAGCUGGACACGCCGCCGUGGAUAAACACUUCCCUUGGGGGAGUUAAUCAAGGGCACAACAACCCCUGCAGCUGCAGAGUGACCCCGACACAGCCUGGAGCGGGCACCAAGCUGCUGAUUUGCAGGGAAGCCCAUCCCGAGGAGGUUCCUGCAGGUCCUUCAGUGCCCCUGGGAGGGGCUGGGCUUGUGGGGGCUCCCGGGAGGGAAGCCAGGAGCGCAGGGAUGUCCCUGACAGCUGGAGCGCAGCUGGGAUAAAUCCUCAGCACGUUUCUGUGCUGGGAGGGAGCAGUGAGGCUGGAGGAGAUGGAGAGUGCUGGGCACACGAGCAGAGCUGGGUGAGGCUCAGCAGGCAGAGGAAGAGCAGCGAGCAUCCCCCAGGACUGGCUUUUCCCAUCACUCAUCCCCCAGGACUGGCUUUUCCCAUCACUCAUCCCCCAGGACUGGCAUUCCUCGAGGGGCUUGUCCCGAGCAGGCUCUGCUCACCUGCAACUCCAGUGAUUUCACAGCAAUGAGGUAAUUUUGUCCCAAGGGUCAUUUAUCUGUCUGCUGAAAAACCCCAGCCCUGUAUGAGUCACCAGGCUGCACUACAGCCCUGUGAUGAAUUACACUUGGACACAUGCUAAAUGACAUUUACCAAUAAAUUUAUGCAGAUUUCUCCUGUAAUCCUUCUCCUCAUCAAAAGUAGUAAUGCUUUCUCUAAUGCAAAUGCACUGCGAGAGCCUCACCACAUCAAACGGGAGCUGGGCUGAGUAGCUCGGAAUUCAGAACGAUAAUCUU